rnacentral:RNase_P_RNA from 1 species
GAUGACCGGAUGGCUGCUGCUUUUGCUUCGGCAAAGGGAGAGGAAAGUCCGGGCUCCACAGGAUCAGGAUGCCGGGUAACGCCCGGCGGGGGCAACCCUAGGGAAAGUGCCACAGAAAACAAACCGCCGGAUGCCGGAAACGGAUAUGCCGGUAAGGGUGAAAAGGUGCGGUAAGAGCGCACCGCCGAACUGGCAACAGAACGGGCAUGGUAAACCCCAUCCGGAGCAAGACCAUGUAGGGACACGCGUUGCCUUAUGCAACAGGUGCGAUCCUGUACCGAUGUCCGGGUAGGUUGCUUGAGGUGGCUGGCAACAGCCAUCCUAGAUGAAUAGCCAUCAUCAACCGCUAUGGCGGUUGGUACAGAACCCGGCUUACAGGUCAUCUG